UUUUUUAUAAUUCUAAUCGAGUGAAAAAAGUGUAAAAAAGUAAUUAAUGACAAAGGAACAAACAAGAAAAUAAUGAAGAUCGUUCGUGUAUAUUUUUCCUUUUUAUCCCAUGUCACAUUUAAUUGACAUACCUUUAAUUGAGAAUCGACAGAUAUAAACAAAAAUAAAACCGUAGCCGGUCCAUCUCUAUUUAGUGGUCACGUUGAGAUGCCAUGUCCAGAGAACGUUCUCAUGGAUCCAGCUCGCGGCUUAAUAUCACUGCUUGUUGGAUGUUAGCAUAAGCAAACAUAGGGGGCUCGAAUAGUAACCCCGUGUGGAUAAAUUGUCGGCCUAUCGAAAAGUAGAAGAAUGAAAAGGGCGAAAGCUGCUCGAGCAAUGACUGCCUUUAACAAAAGAACCCCUUUUCAAUAGCUUUUUAUCUUGCAAUAAGUACUUUCAAAAGAAUAAAUUUUCUGAAUUUU